rnacentral:rRNA from 1 species
UACGUAGGGGGCAAGCGUUGUCCGGAUUUAUUGGGCGUAAAGAGCGUGUAGGCGGCCAGACAGGUCCGUUGUGAAAACUCGAGGCUCAACCUCGAGACGUCGAUGGAAACCGUCUGGCUAGAGUCCGGAAGAGGAGAGUGGAAUUCCUGGUGUAGCGGUGAAAUGCGCAGAUAUCAGGAAGAACACCGAUGGCGAAGGCAGCCCCCUGGGCUGACACUGACGCUCAGGCACGAAAGCGUGGGGAGCAAACAGG